GCACAUUUUCAGUUUACAUGCACCUCCUGUACAAAUCACUUCCUUUAAAGUUCACAAAACACUCAAUGGGAAAGGCAAGUGCCCCCUCCCCCUCUCUUUCACACCCAAUCCUUCCUGAAAAUAGAGUGUGAUCUAAGGUAUUGGGUGUAACCAACAAAUGAAAGUUCAAAUAGCUCUAAAUGUCCC